rnacentral:rRNA from 1 species
GACGAACGCUGGCGGCAUGCCUAAUACAUGCAAGUCGAGCGAACAGAUGAAGUGCUUGCACUUCUGACGUUAGCGGCGAACGGGUGAGUAACACGUAAGGAAUCUACCUAUAAGCGGGGGAUAACAUUCGGAAACGGGUGCUAAUACCGCAUAAUAUCUUCUUCCGCAUGGAAGAAGAUUGAAAGACGGCUCUGCUGUCACUUAUAGAUGACCUUGCGGUGCAUUAGUUAGUUGGUGGGGUAACGGCCUACCAAGACGAUGAUGCAUAGCCGGCCGGAGAGGGUGAUCGGCCACAUUGGGACUGAGACACGGCCCAAACUCCUACGGGAGGCAGCAGUAGGGAAUCUUCCGCAAUGGGCGAAAGCCUGACGGAGCAAUGCCGCGUGAGUGAAGAAGGCCUUCGGGUCGUAAAACUCUGUUAUAAGAGAAGAACAAAUUGUAGAGUAACUGCUACAGUCUUGACGGUAUCUUAUCAGAAAGCCACGGCUAACUACGUGCCAGCCGCCGCCGUAA